rnacentral:rRNA from 1 species
ACGUAGGGGGCGAGCGUUGUCCGGAAUUAUUGGGCGUAAAGCGCACGUAGGCGGCUUUGUAAGUCUCACUGUGAAAGCCCGGGGCUCAACCCCGGGACUGCAGGGGAUACUGCGAGGCUUGAGUCAAGUAGAGGUUGGUAGAAUUCCGGGUGUAGCGGUGGAAUGCGUAGAGAUCCGGAAGAACACCGGUGGCGAAGGCGGCCUGCUGGGCAGUUGCUGACACUGAGGCGCGACAGCGUGGGGAGCAAACAGGA